GGAAACCCUGAAUCCAGCCACGCCGCGUGUGUGAAGAAGGCCUUCGGGUUGUAAAGCACUUUCAAUUGGGAGGAAAGGUUCACGGUUAAUAGCCGUGAGCUGUGACGUCACCUUUAGAAGAAGCACCGGCUAACUCCGUGCCAGCAGCCGCGGUAAUACGGAGGGUGCGAGCGUUAAUCGGAAUUACUGGGCGUAAAGCGCGCGCAGGUGGUUUGUUAAGUCGGAUGUGAAAGCCCCGGGCUCAACCUGGGAACUGCAUCCGAUACUGGCAGACUAGAGUGCGGGAGAGGGAGGUAGAAUUCCA
rnacentral:rRNA from 1 species